AUCGAUUUCGAUCAGCAGAUUGCCAGCGAAGAACGCCGUAUUGAUUUCGCGGACGUUUCCCCGCCAGAUAUCGCGUUGAACCUUGCCGUCAGCGCUCGAGAAGAGCACGCGGUGAAGGCAGCCAGCAGGCGCGCAAAGCUUGCCAUUGUCGCAUUCGACAUGUUCAAAAUGAAUCGUUAUCAGCUGUUGCCCAUCAGGGAUCGGCAAGUAUGUUACAAAGCCGUUCCUGACCCUGAUCGCUUCCGCGCCGCACCCCGCUUGUGCUUGAUGAAGCGCCAGACGAACAGCUUGCGGAAGACGAUGCAUUUGGGCAGCGGAAAGUUUCGACCAGCCGUCUUGAGCGAUGCCGGAGGCUCUGGCUUGUGCGUCCGCAGCGGCAAGACAAAACGC
rnacentral:misc_RNA from 1 species